GAGAGACAUGCCAUCAGUGGGCAAGGACGAAGUGCAUUCCUCUGAGGUCAGAGUUGCCUGGAAGUAUGAUUGAGGCUGGCAGAUCGCUCCAGUGGGCAUGCAUUCGAUUUGUGUCCCCUUUGCAGGGGCCGUCACAUUGAGAGACAUGCUAUUGGCGGGGAAGGAUGAAGUGCUUCCUUCUGAGAACAGAGGUGCCCUGGAUCCUGGAAUCCCUAUUGCCAAGGCUGGCAUUUUGCUCCAGAGCGGGCAGUCGCCUUGAGAGAAAUGCCAUUGGGGGCGAGUAUGAUGUGCAUUCCUUUUGAGGACAGAGUUGCCUGGAAUCGUGGAAUCGCUGUGGCCAAGGCUGGCAGAUCACUUCAGAGGGGGCAGUUGCGUUGAAAGACAUGGCAUCGGAGGGGGGAAUGAAGUGCAUUCCUUCUGAGGACAGAGGUCCUCAGAUACUGGAAUCGCUGUGGCCAAGGUUGGCAGUUUGCUCCACAGGGGGCAGUCACCUUGAGAGACAUGCCAUCGGCAGGCAAGGAUGAGGUACAUUCCUUCUUAGGACAGAUUUGCCUGGAAUCCUGGAACUGCUAUGGCCGAGGAUGGCAGAUUGCUCCGGAGGGAGAAGUUGCCUUGAGAAGUAUUCCAUCAGCAGGCGAGCAUGAGGACCAUUCCUUCUGAGGCCAGAGGUGCCUAACAUCCUGGAAUCUCUGUGGCUAAGACUGGC